rnacentral:rRNA from 1 species
UACGUAGGGAGCAAGCGUUGUCCGGAAUCAUUGGGCGUAAAGCGCGCGUAGGUGGCUUCGUAAGUCCGCUGUGAAAGUCAAAGGCUCAACCUUUGAAAGCCGGUGGAUACUGUGAAGCUAGAGUACGGAAGAGGCGAGUGGAAUUCCUGGUGGUAGCGGUGGAAUGCGCAGAUAUCAGGAGGAACACCAAUAGCGAAGGCAGCUCCGC